GGGGGGACACGGGUGCUCGCCCGUCGAGCGUGCUCGACGGGAGGAAAGUCCGGACUCCAAGGGCAAGGACGCUGGAUAACGUCCAGGCGGAGCGAUCCGACACCAGCACCACAGAGAAUAAACCGCCGAUGGCCGGUGCAAGGAUUUCGAUCGCUUGCACCGGAUCAGGUAAGGGUGAAACGGUGGGGUAAGAGCCCACCGCGGUGAUGGCGACAUCAACGGCACGGUAAGCGUCGUCCGGAGCAAGACCAAA
rnacentral:RNase_P_RNA from 1 species